UACGGAGGGUGCGAGCGUUGUCCGGAAUCACUGGGCGUAAAGGGCUCGUAGGCGGUUUGUCGCGUCGGGAGUGAAAUCCACUGGCUUAACUGGUGGCUUGCUUUCGAUACGGGCAGACUGGAGGUAUGCAGGGGAGAACGGAAUUCCUGGUGUAGCGGUGAAAUGCGCAGAUAUCAGGAGGAACACCGGUGGCGAAGGCGGUUCUCUGGGCAUGUCCUGACGCUGAGGAGCGAAAGUGUGGGGGAGCGAACAGG
rnacentral:rRNA from 1 species